rnacentral:rRNA from 1 species
CAUCACCUAUGGGGGGCAGCAGUAGGGAAUCUUCCACAAUGGACGAAAGUCUGAUGGAGCAACGCCGCGUGAGUGAAGAAGGGGUUCGGCUCGUAAAUCUCUGUUGGUAGUGAAGAAAGAUAGAGGUAGUAACUGGCCUUUAUUUGACGGUAAUUACUUAGAAAGUCACGGCUAACUACGUGCCAGCAGCCGCGGUAAUACGUAGGUGGCAAGCGUUGUCCGGAUUUAUUGGGCGUAAAGCGAGUGCAGGCGGUUUCAUAAAUUUUAUGUGAAAACCUUCGGGUCAAACGGGG